CGAGAUCUCUGUUCUCUCCUCUUCUACCGUCGUAAACCUGAAAAAAAAAAAUAAAAGUUCCAUCUUUUCUUCUUCUCUCGAUCGUGGAAUAAACCCUAAGAAACCGAGAAAAAUUCUCCAUCUUUUACGAAGCGUGUCGACUCCACUUCUCACAUCGUUGGUUCACGUCUCGAGCCCAAGAGAAUCUCCAAUCGAAACCGAAUCUGACACUGUAAGCCAUAUAUAGUGAAUGAUGACGAAGAGGUUUUCGACAAGGACCCCAAAACAGUUUCAUCUCAGCUACUGAGCCUUCUCAUUUUCCACUUCUCAAUGGGACUACUGGUGAGAUUUACCUGUCUUCUUUCCCUUUCUCUAUAUGUAUUUCAUUUCCGUCCACUCUAACUCUGCUUCUGUUCAUUGUGUUUUUCCCCAAUAAUAUGGGACUUGAGGAAGCUGAAACCGACAAUUAAGUAUUCAGCUCUUUACAGUGAUAUUAGUGGAGCGCUCUAUUCUUGCUACAGAAACCUUGAUCUGGCUAUUAUCAAUCAACAGCUUUGCAGAGCAGCGGAGGAGGCGGUGCCAAAGGAGUUAGGGUUAUUUUUUGUAGUUUUAGAUUUAGUAAAACAAAUUUGUAAACCGGUUUACUUUAUAAACCAAAAUCAGUUGUAAACCAAAGUUUAAAUAUAAACCGAAGUCAUUUGUAAACCA